AUUGAACGCUGGCGGCAUGCCUUACACAUGCAAGUCGAACGGCAGCAUAGGAGCUUGCUCCUGAUGGCGAGUGGCGAACGGGUGAGUAAUGUAUCGGAACGUGCCCUAGAGUGGGGGAUAACUAGUCGAAAGACUAGCUAAUACCGCAUACGAUCUACGGAUGAAAGUGGGGGAUCGCAAGACCUCAUGCUCCUGGAGCGGCCGAUAUCUGAUUAGCUAGUUGGUGGGGUAAAAGCUCACCAAGGCGACGAUCAGUAGCUGGUCUGAGAGGACGACCAGCCACACUGGGACUGAGACACGGCCCAGACUCCUACGGGAGGCAGCAGUGGGGAAUUUUGGACAAUGGGGGCAACCCUGAUCCAGCAAUGCCGCGUGAGUGAAGAAGGCCUUCGGGUUGUAAAGCUCUUUUGUCAGGGAAGAAACGGUUCUGGAUAAUACCUGGGACUAAUGACGGUACCUGGAGAAUAAGCACCGGCUAACUACGUGCCAGCAGCCGCAGUAA
rnacentral:rRNA from 1 species